rnacentral:lncRNA from 1 species
UCUUAAGGUGCCCAGAUUUCAUAUUGUUCAAACACACAUGCUUUAUGAACAAUUUGUGCAGUUAAUGCAAUCAUCGCAGGGUCCUGAGGCGACAAACAUCCUCAGUUUACAAAGAUGAUGGGAUUAAGAGAUUAAAGUAAAGACAGGCAUAGGAAAUUAUAACAGUAUUGAUUGGGGAAGUGAUAAAUGUCCAUGAAAUCUUCACAAUUUAUGUUCUUCUGUCACGGCUUUAGCAGGUCCCUCCGUUCAGGGUCCCUGACUUCCUGCAACACCUUCCAUGACAUGGGUAUUUUUGCUUCAGUGUUACCUCGAGCACAAUGUUUGCCACACUAGUGCUAAACAAUUGUAUGUAACAAAAAUGAAUAAAUGUUUUCUUCUGAUGGUAGUUUGUAUUUCUGUGGGAUCGGUGGUGAUAUCCCCUUUAUCAUUUUUUAUUGUGUCUAUUUGAUUCUUCUCUCUUUUUUUCUUUAUUAUUUUAUUGGAGGGAUGAGAGCUAAAGAUUGAUUGGAGUGCAAUCAAGAGAAAAUGAAAAGAGACAUAUGGAGACAGAAGUUAUAAACAGAUAGCUAUAUUCAAAGAUUUGUUUUUUUAAGUAGAGACACAGAAAUGUGAUGGUAGAUAGAAAAGAAAUGUUGGAUCAAGGGAGGCUGCUGUGUGGUGUGUGUGUGUGUGUGUGUGUGUGUGGAUGUGUUCAAAGAGAAAAUUUUUACAGGAUGUUUUUGUGCAGUGGGGAAAGAAAUCUGCAAAUGAGGGAGAGAAAAGGACUAAUUGAGA